rnacentral:sRNA from 1 species
UCAUAUACAUUGAUGUCGGAUCACAAAAA